rnacentral:rRNA from 1 species
CCUAGGCAGUCAGAGGCGAUGAAGGACGUGCUAAUCUGCGAUAAGCGUCGGUAAGCUGAUAUGAAGCGUUAUAACCGACGAUUUCCGAAUGGGGAAACCCAGUGCAAUUCGUUGCACUAUCGUUAAGUGAAUACAUAGCUUAACGAAGCGAACCAGGGGAACUGAAACAUCUAAGUACCCUGAGGAAAAGAAAUCAACCGAGAUUCCCCUAGUAGCGGCGAGCGAACGGGGAACAGCCCAGAACCUUAAUCAGCGUAUGUGUCAGAGGAACGGUCUGGAAAGUCCGGCGAUACAGGGUGAUAGCCCCGUACUUGAAAAUGCAUAUGUUGUGAGUUCGAUGAGUAGGGCGGGACACGUGA